UACGUAGGGCGCAAGCGUUAUCCGGAAUUAUUGGGCGUAAAGAGCUCGUAGGCGGUUUGUCGCGUCUGCCGUGAAAGUCCGGGGCUCAACUCCGGAUCUGCGGUGGGUACGGGCAGACUAGAGUGAUGUAGGGGAGACUGGAAUUCCUGGUGUAGCGGUGAAAUGCGCAGAUAUCAGGAGGAACACCGGUGGCGAAGGCGGGUCUCGUGGGCAGUAACUGACGCUGAGGAGCGAAAGCGUGGGGAGCGAACAGG
rnacentral:rRNA from 1 species